rnacentral:rRNA from 1 species
AGAGUUUGAUCCUGGCUCAGAACGAACGCUGGCGGCGCGCUUAACACAUGCAAGUCGCACGCACCUUUCGGGGUGAGUGGCGCACGGGUGAGUAACGCGUGGGAACCUGCCCUGGGGUUCGGGACAACCGCGGGAAACUGCGGCUAAUACCGGAUACGGCCAUUGGCGAAAGAAGUGAUUCGCCCUGGGAUGGGCCCGCGUCCGAUUAGCUUGUUGGUGGGGUAACGGCCUACCAAGGCUUCGAUCGGUAGCCGGUCUGAGAGGAUGAUCGGCCACACUGGGACUGAGACACGGCCCAGACUCCUACGGGAGGCAGCAGUGGGGAAUCUUGGACAAUGGGCGCAAGCCUGAUCCAGCGACGCCGCGUGGGUGACGAAGGCCUUCGGGUUGUAAAGCCCUUUUCCCGGGGACGAUGAUGACGGUACCCGGGGAAUAAGCACCGGCUAACUCCGUGCCAGCAGCCGCGGUAAGACGGAGGGUGCUAGCGUUGUUCGGAAUGACUGGGCGUAAAAGGGCGCGUAGGCGGCCAUUCACGUCGGAUGUGAAAGCCCGGGGCUCAACCCCGGAACGGCAUCCGAUACGGGCUGGCUCGAGACCGAGAGAGGUGAGUGGAAUACCCAGUGUAGAGGUGAAAUUCGUAGAUAUUGGGUGGAACACCGGUGGCGAAAGCGGCUCACUGGCUCGGUUCUGACGCUGAGGCGCGAAAGCGUGGGGAGCAAACAGGAUUAGAUACCCUAGUAGUCC